rnacentral:lncRNA from 13 species
AUGGAAGGCAGGGGACCUCAGGAACAUUGGCCAGAAUCAGUGUUACUAGACACUUCAUUUGAUUGUGGAAAUCAAUAUGUUGUAUCUAUCUGCCUUCUUCACAGCAAAAACAUGCACAGAGUAGACAUGGAAUAUCCAGAGGAAAACAAGAAGAGGCCAUCGGUGACAGCUGACACCCUGUUCUACGAGUCAGUCCAGCAGACCCUUCAGUUGAGGACUGGCAAGAUGUCCGACAUCCCGGAGGAGCCAGAGGAGGUGUAUGAGAGGGCCCAUCCCUCCAUCGUACCCCUGAAGGAUGCUCCACCCUGCACAGAGGCAGACAGCAUCCUCAACUAUAUCACUGUGCAUUACUCCAGGAUCCCAAGUCUGGACCAGAUUCAAGUUACAAAUGUACCACUGGAUGGCGAUAAAGAGCCAAAGGAUGCUGCCAAUGUUGUUUACACUGUCCUGGCCAGACCACACCAGUAGUGGUGCAGAUGAGAACUGUAGCUCCAAAUGAGUGACAUCGCCAGAAGGAUCUCUACCAUCGACCCCUGAACUGCUUCUCAGCUGGACUGCUCACUCUAAGCCAAUUUACUGUUUAUCUAAUUUACUACAAAGUCUAAUUUACUAGGAAUAGUUAAAGUAGUUACUUGUAAUUCAUUUGGCAUUAUAAGUGUCAUUAUAACUCAUUUAUUAUAACGUUUUACUAGUAGUGGCCAGAUAAUGAAAUAUUCCGAUAUCAGAAUCAUCCCUAAAAUGUAUCUUUUUCACCCUCAGAAGGAAGUCAUUUUGGACAUUUUCUCUCUGAGUUCUCUCUAUCUCCUCCAUAAGAUAUCAUUAAAAUGUAACAUACUUUAAAAAUGAAGUUUGGUAUGCAUCAUCACUCAUGCUAGUCUUAUGGAGAAUGUGUAUAAAUGUGUUACUGAUCAUAUCUUAUGUUUAGGGUAUGGUUGGUAUGUCCCAAAUUGCUUGUUGAAAUAGCUUUUUGUCAAAUAAACAUUUUUAAAUGAAGAAAGAAUUGCUAGAUGUAUUAAAGACAUGUAUCAGGUAGACACUUGCCCUGUUUAUUCUGAUCUAUCAUGCUGUGGAUGUCGGUACUGAGUUAUUGAUUAAUUAUGGACAUAUGAACUGUGUACUACUUUUCAUAACAGAUGAACACGGAAAUACUGCAGAGGUCAGAGGGGAUAUAGGACAAACACAAGCACCCAACAAAUUAUUAUUAUUAUUGUUAUUAUUAUUAUCAUAAUCUCGUCAACAUACUGAAUGUCUCUAAAUCACCAAAUCUAUUCCCUGCUUACAUAGAAAAGUUACAUGACCUUCCCUGUCAACCUUCAGUCUCAACUCCUGCAUUCUGCUUGUGAAAUUGUUAUUAUCACAUCAGUCCAUGGUAUUUGCAUGGUCAUUUGCUGACCAGUCUCAUUCUAUGGACAUGCUCUGUAGAUGAGUGAGUGAUCCUGUUUCUUUCUAUAAAGUUCAUGUGUUUCCUUUCAUUCAGUUGAUUUUUAUGUUUUCCAAUGCUAAUGUAGAACAGGAUUUCUAUUAAGAAAUUGAAGCAUAGUUAAGUUUAUUUCAUGUUGGUGAGGAUAAAAACAGAAUGACUAGAUUAUGUAAAUGUGUAUCCCAAUUGUGCUGUCUUAUUGACAGCAGGGUUGGAGUCAAUUCCAUUUUAAUUCCACUAUAUUCAGAAAGUACACCAAUUCCACAUUUUCCUCAUUGAAAAGCCUUGAAGAUAUUUGGAAGUGGAAUUUCAGUGUAGUUCUUGAAUUUCAAUGGAAUUGACCCCAAACCUGAUUGACAGAGACAGUUACACCUUCUUUAAAUUAAAACAAUGUUGAUGCUGCCACCACCAUGCUCCACCGUAGGGAUGGUGCAAGGUUUCCUCCAGUCUGUUUGAUGAUUGGCUUUGCUACUGUCUAAUGCUGUAUAAUUCCCUCAACCUGUGGUGUUGCAGUUUGAUGCGGUGUGGCUCUUUGAAACAACCAGUGUGAUUACUCUCAAGUUGCCAGGUGAGUAGAAUAUAUAUAUUUUUGUUUGAUACUCUAUCAUUCUGUGGAUGCCAGUAUUCAGUUAUUAAUAAAUUAAUUAUAUAAACUGCAUGUUGUAUAUGGCUCAUUAGAGAUGAAAUAUACAGAAGUGACUGAUAGCCAGUUUGUGCACCAGCAUGUGUAGAGUAUGAUCUUUCAAAUUAACAUAUCUGAAGGUAGGCCACACGUAGGAAUGCUAUAUUAUAUUUUCCUACAUUUAAAAAGGGCAAAUGGGUACUGUACCUUUGAGUGUUGUAGAUAAGUGUGAUAACUGUUUUUUGUGGAAGUAAUUGGAAGAUGACAUUCAACGAUACAACACCAUAGCUCCAUGUGCCUUAACAAGUUGAGGGGAAGGUCAUCUAAACCCUUAACCUGUUUACAUUAUGUGGAACACUGAGCUGAUGAGCAAGCGCCAACCUUUUGAAGGUUAAACAACUGGGUUUUAUAUUUUGACUAGGUUGAUGUCCCAGGGACAGUGAAUGAAAACAUCGGUCAAUGCAACCCGAUUGUGGUAUGAAAUAUGGAAACAGUGGUUAACAUUGAGAGAUGUAUUCAUCUCUGAAUCUACAGAUCCCUUGGUAUGUGUGUGUAUUUUUGAUACUCACUCCCAUUAAUAGAAGUCUAACCUUUGUGGAUUAUAGUAUUACCAUUAUAAUUGGAUUGUACAACCCAGAAUGAAGGGUUUGAAAUUAUGAAGUGUCUGGGUUUUUUCUGUGUUGAUUUCCAUUACUUUAAUAGGAGUAUAGAAUAUUUUGAUAUAGAAGCUAAAAAUCUAAAUGCUUACAUUAAAAUGUAAUGAUUAUUGUCACACAAGUGAUGAGGAUGGAAUGUAAUGGACAUUUAAUGUUUGUGCUUUUCUUAUAACUAAUUUCUGUGUUCAAUUCAUGUGCUGUUCUAUAAACCAAUUUGUGUUCAUGCAAGUGGUUGACUGUACAAACCCUCACUAUCAGUAGCUGAAAUUUGGCAGUACGCCCAGUCCUUGUUUUGAAAGAUAUCUCAGUUUCAAGGUCUAAGCUUCGAGAAAAGAAGCCUCGUGAGGUAUUGGUCUGUCACAUGCUAUGAACCAGUAUUGGUCUGUCACAUGAAUUAAAUAAAACAGUAAUGAUUAAUUAUGCUACAUCAUGCAAAUAUAACUUGUCUGCGUAUAGCCGUAUAUAAGACAACUGUUGGGACUGCCCAGGCAGAGCUCCUGAUUGACAUGUGUACUAUGAUGCAUUGAGUUGGUUGGAACCUCUCCAGCACGCUGACAAAUAAACAAUGAUUCAUUUAAGAUUGACUUUGAGUGUCCCUGUGUAAGAAUUUCCAAGACAUAACCAUCUCUGUCUUAUGUAACCAUACAAAACGUAACAUAUCAUACUAAUUUCGUAUACUUGAUUUACGUUUACUAUGUUAUGUCUAGCCUAUGAGACCAGGCUUUUCUGAGGUCCUCAGAGACAGUAGCGCUUUUACUUGGGGUGAUUUUAUUGUGCUACUUUAUCAUCCUGAUAUCUUUUUAUUUGCCCUAUUUAUUUUACUUCCAUCAGUCUCUCUGGUUUCACUGUUGUUUUCUUGCCCUAUUCAGUUUCAUUUUACCAUUUUAUUUUGUCUAGAUCAUCUAUCAUAUCUUUGUCAUUUUUAUACAUGUAUUUAUUAUUUUACUUUUGUUUUAAGAACUUUAAAUGCAUUAACUUGUGAUCUAUGAAUAAAGUUUGAUUUGAUACAGAUUUACGCCGUACUGUAGGUCAAACAUGUCUUUCUAACAUGCAGAAAUAAGGAAUCAUUAGGAGUCCUUCCUCUUACUCAAACACCAAGAUAAUAUAUCAAAUUGCUUCGAAGAAGAAGAAGUCUGUCUCAUGAUAGCAUGGUCAGCAUAAUGUUUAUAACACAUUUAUAAUGUACAGUAUUUAGCCAAAAACAUGUUUGCCUCUGCCAGUAUAGCGGACAUGAGCCGAAGAAUGGUUGCUCAUGGUCACAUGAAGGAGUAGCCCCGCCUGCAACUUCAAAAUCAAUGUCUGGCCUCGGCCCAAGAGGGAAUUUCCUCUUGGUAUAAUGGUAAGAGGUUGGUUUCUUCUGCGGUAAACUCAGGGUUUGUAUCUCUUCGGUCACAUCAGGAAGCUGAAACUUGGUCGCGAGUGGAACUUCCAGCAAGGCAAUAACCCCAAGCACACAUCAGAAUCAACAUUUUGCAAUUCCCGAUUGCUGGUCAAAAGUAGUGCACUAUAUAGGGAAUAGGGUACCAUUUGGGAGGCAGACCUAGCCUGUCUGAGCUUUUUUAAUGAGAAAUGUGGUUAAAAUUCAACUGCUAAACUGUCACUCAGGCUGUCGGAACAUUACUUUUGCCAUUGUCAAAGCAGGGGGAAAUUAAACACCGCUGCAGAACGGAUGGCCUUCACUCAGCAACUGCGUUUAUUUUCAUCAAACUUAACAUGGGUAAAUAUUUGUAUGAUCAAAACAAGAUUCAACAACUGAGACGUAAACUGAACAAGUUCCACAGACAUGUUACUAACAGAAAUUGAAUAAUGUGUCCCUGAAAAAAGGGGGGGUCAAAAUCAAAAGGAACAGUAUCUGGUGUGGCCACCAGCUACAUUAAGUACUGCAGUGCAUCUCCUCCCCAUGGAUUGCACCAGAUUUGCCAGUUCUUGCUGUGAGAUUUUACCCCACUCUUCCACUAAGGUACCUGCAAGUUCCCUGUACCUGUCCUGCAGGUGUGAUGUUUGGAUGUACCGAUCCUGUGCAGGUGUUGCUACACGUGGUCUGCCACUGCAAGGACGAUCAGCUGAGUUUUGAUAUUAUAGAGUAUACUGUAGGCCUAAUCCUGUUGUUCAGCCAUCAAACCAUUCACUGCUCCACCAGGUGUGUGGCAAACUUUUGUCUUGUACCUCCCUCCUCCACUGAUACAUGUGGGCUGAUGCUGAGAGUCGUUGUGGGAGUACCCAUGAUGUAUAGAGCAUUUGGACAAGAG